rnacentral:rRNA from 1 species
UACGUAGGGGGCAAGCGUUGUCCGGAUUUAUUGGGCGUAAAGAGCGUGUAGGCGGCCUGGAAGGUCAGCUGUGAAAACUCGAGGCUCAACCUCGAGACGUCGGUUGAAACCACCUGGCUAGAGUCCGGAAGAGGAGAGUGGAAUCCCCGGUGUAGCGGUGAAAUGCGCAGAUAUCGGGAAGAACACCCGUGGCGAAGGCGGCUCUCUGGGACGGUACUGACGCUGAGACGCGAAAGCGUGGGGAGCGAACAGG